AUCAGAACGUUCUCAGUUCUGGACCUAUGGACUGGAUCUAUCUAUGUCUGCAUCAUGGCUCCACAUGGAGAAGAACUGAACAGAGGAAGAGAAACAUCUGACUGAGAGACUCGACAAAGAUGGAAAAAGAUCCAGGAAGAUCAGUGAGCAACUAAAAACCAGAGAAGCACAGAGACAGCAGGAACCAGGAGGUCUAGAAGGAGUCAUAGUUCCACUAAUCAGGAGGUCUAGAAGGAGUCAUAGUUCCACUAAUCAGGAGGUCUAGAAGGAGUCAUAGUUCCACUAAUCAGGAGGUCUAGAAGGAGUCAUAGUUCCACUAAUCAGGAGGUCUAGAAGGAGUCAUAGUACCACUAAUCAGGAGGUCUAGAAGGAGUCAUAGUUCCACUAAUCAGGAGGUCUAGAAGGAGUCAUAGUUCCACUAAUCAGGUCUAGAAGGAGUCAUAGUUCCACUAAUCAGGAGGUCUAGAAGGAGUCAUAGUACCACUAAUCAGGAGGUCUAGAAGGAGUCAUAGUUCCACUAAUCAGAAGGUCUAGAAGGAGUCAUAGUACCACUAAUCAGGAGGUCUAGAAGGAGUCAUAGUUCCACUAAUCAGGAGGUCUAGAAGGAGUCAUAGUUCCACUAAUCAGGAGGUCUAGAAGGAGUCAUAGUUCCACUAAUCAGGAGGUCUAGAAGGAGUCAUAGUUCCACUAAUCAGGAGGUCUAGAAGGAGUCAUAGUACCACUAAUCAGGAGGUCUAGAAGGAGUCAUAGUUCCACUAAUCAGGAGGUCUAGAAGGAGUCAUAGUUCCACUAAUCAGGUCUAGAAGGAGUCAUAGUUCCACUAAUCAGGAGGUCUAGAAGGAGUCAUAGUACCACUAAUCAGGAGGUCUAGAAGGAGUCAUAGUUCCACUAAUCAGAAGGUCUAGAAGGAGUCAUAGUUCCACUAAUCAGGAGGUCUAGAAGGAGUCAUAGUACCACUAAUCAGGAGGUCUAGAAGGAGUCAUAGUUCCACUAAUCAGGAGGUCUAGAAGGAGUCAUAGUUCCACUAAUCAGGAGGUCUAGAAGGAGUCAUAGUUCCACUAAUCAGGUCUAGAAGGAGUCAUAGUUCCACUGAUCACUAAUUGUGUCUCAUUGUAAUCUAUUCAUGGCAUUUUGUGAUCGUUAUGUGUCACUUUGUGAUUGUUUUGUGUUUCUUCUUACCAGAAUUGCCACAUUGAAUGUAUGGUCCUGACAGUGAAGCACGGUUGUUUUGUGUCUCUGCGGUCACUUUGCAUUUUGCGUGGUCAUUUUGUGUAUUUUUUGUGUGUGAUGUGACUUUUUUGUUGUUUUGUGUGUCUUUGUGCUUGUUUUGUGUCUCAUUGUGCUCUUUUUGUUUCAUUUUGUGAGCGCUUUGUGCUUGUUUUGUGUUUCUCUCCUGAUGAGGACUACCACAGUGAAUCAUAGUCCUGACAGUGAAGAUGGGAGCGUGACAACACCAAAAUACUGACCGACCAGAUGAAUCCCGAUCCGCAGAAGCAGGAAGAAGAGGAAUAUUCCAGCAGAGAAGCAUCCAAAGAACAACAUCACAGCAGAGUUAGAGAACAAAGUGAAACUAGAACCUGGACAGUGUGAGUCCUGACUUGAAUCCAACAGAAGCCCUUUGUGGUGUUUUUUAAAAAGAGAAAGGCAGAGCAACACAUCCCCUCCAACAAAAAGCAGCUGGAGAAGAACAGUCUGUGAAGAACGUCAGAACAUCUCCGUGCAGGGGAGGAUCGUCAUGAAAAAUACAAGGAAAAGUCUUGAAUCUCAGUAUCGACUUUUGUUGCGCUGAGCUCCAGCUGAGGGGUUUGUGUUUCUGAAACAGUGAAUAUUAACUGAUAGUGGUUAAUUAUACAUGAGGCCAAUACUCUCCUGUUCUACUUAGAAGUAAUCUGAUUACUGGGAGGUGACACAGUUUCGAAUCCUCUGACAUUUGGGUGGUAAACUCACUCCUCAGCUACAUAAAUAUGAACCAUCGUCUGUGCCUCAGCGCUCUGCUUUGAACAUGUGUCGCCUCUUUCGGUAUUAUUUCAGCCUCGGCUCUCGGUGGAACGUGUCAGCGGUGAUGGAUCCCUCUCAUGAGUAAACACCACCAACAAAAGGUGCAUUUGUGUCGUGCUGCUGUUCUCAGGCCCUGGCAGCUAUAUAGGAAAAGAAGGGAGAGGAGGGAAAAAGAGGUGUAUUAGCAGGGCUGUCAUGUACCGAGCUGUGGGAUGUAUUACAGCUAGAAGCAGUUUUAAAACAAGUUGGGGUGCUGCCAAGAAAGUCUCAGAGCAAUAUCUUCAGCCGUAUGGAUGAGGGAGUGUGUUCUGGCCGAGCUGCCACCAGCCUCUGACAAUAUUUAAUAUUGCAUAGCUGGAACCUGCUGGGAAAUCAUGUCCAGGACGUCUGACGGGCUUAAAUAAAACCACAGUACAAUCAGCAACUGUUGAAACGUGCACAAACCACGUCUCUACAUUAGUUUGUUCCACUUAAGAUGGCAGCUGUCUGUCAUUUUAUUAUUCUGAGUAUCAACGCUGUCGU